GAUGAACGCUGGCGGCGUGCCUAAUACAUGCAGGUCGAGCGAAUGGAUUAAGAGCUUGCUCUUAUGAAGUUAGCGGCGGACGGGUGAGUAACACGUGGGUAACCUGCCCAUAAGACUGGGAUAACUCCGGGAAACCGGGGCUAAUACCGGAUAACAUUUUGAACCGCAUGGUUCGAAAUUGAAAGGCGGCUUCGGCUGUCACUUAUGGAUGGACCCGCGUCGCAUUAGCUAGUUGGUGGGGUAACGGCUCACCAAGGCAACGAUGCGUAGCCGACCUGAUGUGGGGGUCGGCCACACUGGGACUGGGGCGCGGGCCAUACUCCUACGGGAGGCAGCAGGAAGGGAUAUUCCGCAAUGGACGAAAGUCUGACGGACCAACGCCGCGUGAGUGAUGAAGGCUUACGGGUCGUAAACCUCUGUUGUUAGGGAAGGACAAGUGCUAGUUGAAUACGCUGGCACCUUGACGGUACCUAACCAGAAAGCCACGGCUAACUACGUGCCUGCCGCCGCGGUAA
rnacentral:rRNA from 1 species